rnacentral:rRNA from 1 species
GGCGGCGUAGAUAAGACAUGCAAGUCGAACGCGACUUAUCGUGUUAGCAAUAACAUGGUAAGUUGAGUGGCGAAAGGGUGCGUAACACGUGGGAAUUUACCAAGAAGUGGGGAAUAGCUCGACGAAAGUCGAAUUAAUACCGCAUAUGAUCGCAAGAUCAAAGCCGGGGACCGCAAGGCCUGGCGCUUUUUGAGAAGCCCGCGGCCCAUCAGCUAGUUGGCGAGGUAAAAGCUCACCAAGGCUAUGACGGGUAGCUGGUCUGAGAGGACGACCAGCCACACUGGAACUGAGACACGGUCCAGACACCUACGGGUGGCAGCAGUCGAGAAUUUUUCACAAUGGACGAAAGUCUGAUGGAGCGACGCCGCGUGGAGGAUGAAGGUUUUCGGAUUGUAAACUCCUGUCACUGCAGAA